AUUGAACGCUGGCGGCAGGCUUAACACAUGCAAGUCGAGCGGAGAUGAGGUGCUUGCACCUUAUCUUAGCGGCGGACGGGUGAGUAAUGCUUAGGAAUCUGCCUAUUAGUGGGGGACAACAUUCCGAAAGGAAUGCUAAUACCGCAUACGUCCUACGGGAGAAAGCAGGGGAUCUUCGGACCUUGCGCUAAUAGAUGAGCCUAAGUCGGAUUAGCUAGUUGGUGGGGUAAAGGCCUACCAAGGCGACGGUCUGUAGCGGGUCUGAGAGGAUGAUCCGCCAAACUGGGACUGAGACACGGCCCAGACGCCUACGGGAGGCAGCAGUGGGGAAUAUUGGACAAUGGGGGGAACCCUGAUCCAGCCAUGCCGCGUGUGUGAAGAAGGCCUUAUGGUUGUAAAGCACUUUAAGCGAGGAGGAGGCUACUGAGACUAAUACUCUUGGAUAGUGGACGUUACUCGCAGAAUAAGCACCGGCUAACUCUGUGCCAGCCGCCGCCGUAACAC
rnacentral:rRNA from 1 species